GACGUAGGGCGCGAGCGUUGUCCGGAUUUAUUGGGCGUAAAGAGCUCGUAGGCGGUUUGUCGCGUCUGCUGUGAAAACUCGGGGCUUAACCCUGGGCCUGCAGUGGGUACGGGCAGACUAGAGUGCGGUAGGGGAGACUGGAAUUCCUGGUGUAGCGGUGAAAUGCGCAGAUAUCAGGAGGAACACCGGUGGCGAAGGCGGUUCUCUGGGCAUUACCUGACGCUGAGGAGCGAAAGUGUGGGGAGCGAACAGG
rnacentral:rRNA from 1 species